rnacentral:rRNA from 1 species
UGGGGAAUAUUGGUCAAUGGAGGAAACUCUGAACCAGCAACGCCGCGUGAAUGAUGAAGGUCUUCGGAUUGUAAAGUUCUUUUCUAAGGGACGAAGAAAUUGACGGUACCUUAGGAAUAAGCCUCGGCUAACUACGUGCCAGCAGCCGCGGUAAUACGGAGGAUGCGAGCGUUAUCCGGAUUUAUUGGGUGUAAAGGGCGCGUAGGCGGGUGUGCAAGUCAGGAGUGAAAUACCGGAGCUUAACUCCGGAGCUGCUUUUGAAACUGUACAUCUUGAGUAUCGGAGAGGAAAGCGGAAUUCCCAGUGUAGCGGUGAAAUGCGUAGAUAUUAGGAGGAACACCAGUGGCGAAGGCGGUCUGCUGGACAGCAACUGACGCUGAGGCGCGAAAGCGUGGGGAGC